rnacentral:rRNA from 1 species
UUCGGUGGUUUUGGCGAGGGGGAAACACCCGGUCCCAUUCCGAACCCGGAAGUUAAGCCCUUCAGCGCCGAUGGUACUGCAUGGGAGACUGUGUGGGAGAGUAGGAUACCGCCGGAC